UAAAGAGUUCUAUAACUCCCAAACCCAUGUGAACAUACCUAACGUUGCCUCGGCAGGUCGCACCUACCUUGUAGCACCCUACCCUGUAGGGCCUACCCGGGAGGUGCGGGUAAGCCUGCCGGCGGCCCACCAAACUCUGUUUGAUAUUGAAUUCUGAACCUAUAACUAAAUAAGUUAAAACUUUCAACAACGGAUCUCUUGGUUCUGGCAUCGAUGAAGAACGCAGCGAAAUGCGAUAAGUAAUGUGAAUUGCAGAAUUCAGUGAAUCAUCGAAUCUUUGAACGCAUAUUGCGCCCAUUAGUAUUCUAGUGGGCAGGACCGUUCGAGCGUCAUUUCAACCCUUAAGCCUUCGUUGCUUAGUGUUGGGAGCCUACGGCAACGUAGCUCCUCAAAGUUAGUGGCGGAGUUGGUUCACACUCUAGACGUAGUAAUUUUUUAUCUCGCCUAUUAGUUGGACUAAUCCCCUGCCGUAAAACCCCUAAUUUAUCAAGGUUGACCUCGAAUCGGUUCAGACAAACUCGCUAAAUUGAAGCAUCUUAGUCAGCGAAGGAAAAGAAACCAACAGGGAUUGCCCUAGUAACGGCGAGUGAAGCGGCAACAGCUCAAAUUUGAAAUCUGGCCCUCGGGUCCGAGUUGUAAUUUGUAGAGGAUGCUUUUG
rnacentral:rRNA from 1 species